UACGAAGGUGGCAAGCGUUGUUCGGAUUUACUGGGCGUAAAGGGAGCGUAGGUGGUUAGGUAAGCCCUCCGGGAAAUCUUCAGGCUUAACCUGAAAAGGUCGGGGGGGACUGCCUAGCUAGAGGGCGGGAGAGGAGCGCGGAAUUCCCGGUGUAGCGGUGAAAUGCGUAGAGAUCGGGAGGAAGGCCGGUGGCGAAGGCGGCGCUCUGGGUAGAUACUGACGCUGAGGUGCGAAAGCGUGGG
rnacentral:rRNA from 1 species